AUUGAACGCUAGCGGGAUGCCUUACACAUGCAAGUCGAACGGAGUGGCGAACGGGGGAGUAAUGUAUCGGAACGUGCCCAGUAGCGGGGGAUAACUACGCGAAAGCGUAGCUAAUACCGCAUACCAUUGGAGCGGCCGAUACCGGAUUGGCCAGUUGGUGGGGUAACGGCUCACCAAGGCGACGAUCCGUAGCUGGUUUGAGAGGCAGACCAGCCACACUGGAACUGGGACACGGCCCAGCCUCCUGCGGGAGGCAACGGUGGGGAAUUUUGGACAAUGGGGGAAACCCUAAUCCGGCCAUCCCGCGUGUGCGAUGACGGCCUUCGAGUUGUAAAGCACUUUUGGCAGGAAGGCGGUACCUGCAGAAUCAGCGCCGGCUAACUACGUGCCAGCAGCCGCGGUAAUAC
rnacentral:rRNA from 1 species